AAGAACAGCAGUGGCAGCGGCCAGCUCUGGAGCCGUGGAUUCAGCUCCUGCUGUUACUACAGAGCUCUCAGUUUGCAGGGGCCUGGAUGUUCUGGGGGAGG
rnacentral:pre_miRNA from 1 species